GAAAUGCGAUAAGUAAUGUGAAUUGCAGAAUUCAGUGAAUCAUCGAAUCUUUGAACGCACCUUGCGCUCCUUGGUAUUCCUUGGAGCAUGCCUGUUUGAGUAUCAUGAAAUCUUCAAAGUAAAUCUUUUGUUAACUCAAUUGGUUUCUACUUUGGUAUUGGAGGUCUUUGCAGCUUCACACCUGCUCCUCUUUGUUCAUUAGCUGGAUCUCAGUGUUAUGCUUGGUUCCACUCGGCGUGAUAAGUUAUCUAUCGCUGAGGACACUGUAAAAGGUGGCCAAGGUAAAUGCAGAUGAACCGCUUCUAAUAGUCCAUUGACUUGGACAAUACUUUUAUGAUCUGAUCUCAAAUCAGGUAGGACUACCCGCUGACCUUAAGC
rnacentral:misc_RNA from 1 species